rnacentral:rRNA from 1 species
UACGUAGGGUGCAAGCGUUAAUCGGAAUUACUGGGCGUAAAGCGUGCGCAGGCGGUUUUGUAAGUCUGUCGUGAAAUCCCCGGGCUCAACCUGGGAAUUGCGAUGGAGACUGCAAGGCUAGAAUCUGGCAGAGGGGGUAGAAUUCCACGUGUAGCAGUGAAAUGCGUAGAGAUGUGGAGGAAUACCAAUGGCGAAGGCAGCCCCCUGGGAUAAUAUUGACGCUCAUGCACGAAAGCGUGGGGAGCAAACAGG